rnacentral:rRNA from 1 species
GAUGAACGCUGGCGGCGUGCCUAAUACAUGCAAGUCGAGCGAACAGAUGAGGAGCUUGCUCCUCUGACGUUAGCGGCGGACGGGUGAGUAACACGUGGAUAACCUACCUAUAAGACUGGGAUAACUUCGGGAAACCGGAGCUAAUACCGGAUAAUAUAUUGAACCGCAUGGUUCAAUAGUGAAAGACGGUUUUGCUGUCACUUAUAGAUGGAUCCGCGCCGCAUUAGCUAGUUGGUAAGGUAACGGCUUACCAAGGCAACGAUGCGUAGCCGACCUGGGAGGGUGAUCGGCCACACUGGAACUGAGACACGGUCCAGACUCCUACGGGAGGCAGCAGUAGGGAAUCUUACGCAAUGGGCGAAAGCUUGACGGAGCAACGCCGCGUGAGUGAUGAAGGUCUUCGGAUCGUAAAACUCUGUUAUUAGGGAAGAACAAAUGUGUAAGUAACUAUGCCCGUCUUGACGGUACCUAAUCAGAAAGCCCCGGCUAACUACGUG